UUACGGCCAUAGAAUAUUGAAAUAUCGGUUCCGAUCCGAUCACCGAAUUUAAGCAGCAUUGAAUCAAGACAGUACUGUACCUAGAUGGUUGACCGCUUGGGAAUACCAUGUGCUGUAAG